rnacentral:misc_RNA from 1 species
CAUUUUCUCAUUUGUCCUUCAGAUUAUGGUUCGUGAAACGUGCUUGUGUUAGAUAAUAUAAUGUUUUUAAUAUAAAUAUAAUAUUUUUUUGAAAGAAAGGGAAAAGAAUAAAAAAAGAAAGAGAUACAGCCACAGAAUGAAACGAUCGAUAAUAGAAGAAAAUGGAGAUUCAAAAAGAUCAUUCAUUAAACAAGAGUCUGUUACAAUUAAAAAUGAGGGAACAACAUAUACAAAUUACUCCUCAUCGACUACAUCAGCAUCUACUUCCAUUCCUCAACCUUUACCAGGUCAACCACCAUUACCUCCAAUGCCUCCACCCCCUAGCGGAGUUCCACCACCGCCUCAUGUCUUUGGACCAGUGCCUUCUCAGAUUACGCCAAUUCAAACAUGGGCUCAAGCAUCCACACAUUGGUCAUGGAUAACACCGCCCAUACCUCACAGAGAAAUUCAACAUAUUCAAAGGGAAAUUGCCCUGAGAGGUAACUACAUGAGAAGAGAAAGGUAUCCCCACAACAGAAAUAACAUGUAUCUUCAGAGAAAUUCCUAUCAUCGUAAGAAUAGAAGACCAUCACGUUUUGGUCAAUCGCAAGAACAAUUUGAUCAAGCUACUUAUUUUGGCGAAGCAUUAACAGGUGGUCUCAGCUUAGAUUGGCCAAGAAAUAAUUAUAAUGCAACACCGAAUGAUCCUAUUAUGAAUCAUAUGUCUGUUCCCCUUUCCAAUCAUCCUAUAACUCCCAUAACCCAAGGUAUUAUAACUACUAGACAUGGAGAAGAAAAAGGAGAUCAGGAUGUUAAAAGUGUAUUGAAAGAAUUAGUAGUUAAGAAAAAUAAACAGAGAAAACCUAUGUCGCAAAGUUACCCCAGCCGACCAUGGAAUCGGGAAGAUGCUGAGAGAGCUUUAAAAAUUGAAACGGAAUACAAUAAGACCGUUAAAGCAAGGAGUUUGAUUAUUAAAUUUCCAGAUCCUGAUCUUAAUAAGGAUAUUGUUAGAGAAUUUCAUCCUGAUAUACAAAAUAUUCAUUUUCAAAGUCCUAGUGGCCCUAGAUAUUGUUUUAUUCAGAUGGCAGAAAAUGUUAAUAUUGAUGAAGCUAUUAAAGAGUUAGAAAAGAUUCCCUUUGGUAUUGGCAAUUUGAAAGUGGAAAGAAAAUCUUUGCGAGAUGAAGAUAACCCAAUGCCUGAAGAAAUUGAUCCUUAUAUUUUGUACGUAGGAAAUUUACCAGAAACUGUUAAUGUUAAUGAAGUCAAAAGCAAGUUUCCAACAGCUUCUAGGGUAGAUGUUGGUUAUGCGCAAAAAAUGAGAAAUACACGAUAUGCAUUUAUAAGAUAUAAUACUGUAGAUGAAUCGAUAGAGGCUUAUAAACAGACACACGACUUAAUGUGGGAUACAAGAAGUAUUAUUGUAAGAUUCCGAAGACAACGUGGAAAUACAUGUCUUUCGGGAGAACAUAAACCAAAUGUAAAGAAAGUUCAAGAAGAACCAAACAAUACAUCACAAACAAAAGAACGAAAGGAAAACAAUAAUGAAAAGAAAGCAACACAACAACCAGAUACUAAUGGAGAGCAUAGAUUACAAGAUGGUACUGAAACACAGGGUAAAGAAAAUAGUCAAACUCUACAGCAAAAUACUGAUCUACAAUCUCCUCAAUUGUCUGCAUCUGUAACAUCUGUUAAAACGGCGCAAAAACAAUCAUGGACAUCGCAACCACCUCAAAUACUUUCGGCGUCUGAAGUAUCCCCUCCGUGCCCAUCAAAAACAGAAACAGUGCCAGAAACAAUAUUGUUAACGAAUAUUAAAGAAGAACCAGAAGAUUAUGAAGACCUAGAAAUGAUGUACUUAUCAUCCGAUGCUGUGGACGACGAUGUCGACGAAGAUGAAGAAGAUUUAGAUGACGACGAUGACGACGACGAUGACGAAAACGAUGAUGAUGAUGAUAACGAUAAUGAAAAAGAGGAAGAAGACGAAGAUGAUGUUGAUCAUAACGAAAGUUUGUUAUUUAGUUCCAAACAGCAACAUACUUUAAAAGAUACUGAACCAUCUGAUCAUCUUGAUCAAAUGUUUAACGAGCUGGAAAAUACAACAAGUAAUAUUGGGUUUUAAUGGGGUAAAAAAUAAUAAAAUUAUUAAUUAAUGAUCUCUCUAAUAAGACAAUUUUGCAAAACCGUCUUUAAAAAUAUCGUAUGUAAAUAUCAAUAAUUUUAAAACGUAACAGUUCGAGCAAACGUCAUCUCCGUUAUACCGAAGCGCCAUCUACUUCCUUUCGAAUAAAACAAGAGUAAAUGCGCGG